GGUACAAGAAUGCCCCAAGGCAUCACAGGGACUGGUAGGGGUGCUCCAGCAUUGUCCACGUUGAAGGACUGAUCACACAGUACAUGGUGUCAAACUCCACUUUUCUUUCUAGGGCUGUGUCCUCAUGCUGUUAUGGAGAGAGCCUUGUCUUCUGAUUCUCCCAACCUGAGAGGCAAGUAGUUCAUUUUUAAUUAAGUGAUAGUUAUCAUACCUUGUCCUUAAUUUUUGUCUUAUGUUGACCAUCUCUACUUUCAGUUCUUUUCUGCUGAUAACAGUUAAGCGAAAGAUGAUGUCAGUGUGCUGUGUGAUCCUCCUUUCUGAUGCUGUGUGCAGACUGAGUUGGAAGAAGCUUUUCUUGUUCUACUGUCAUUUUCUUGUCUCAAGCUGGUGGGGAGAAGUUGCUUGCCCCUACCCAGGAGAGUUAAGCAGGUGCUCGAGCAAGCUCCACACCUUCUACGACAAAGCUGAUUGUGGCUUCACGUUCAUUGCUAUCAUCAGACCUUCCCGCUCAGCUGUGUAA
rnacentral:lncRNA from 1 species